rnacentral:rRNA from 1 species
CAGCAGCAGCCGCGGUAAUACAGAGGGUGCGAGCGUUAAUCGGAUUUACUGGGCGUAAAGCGUGCGUAGGCGGCUUUUUAAGUCGGAUGUGAAAUCCCUGAGCUUAACUUAGGAAUUGCAUUCGAUACUGGGAAGCUAGAGUAUGGGAGAGGAUGGUAGAAUUCCAGGUGUAGCGGUGAAAUGCGUAGAGAUCUGGAGGAAUACCGAUGGCGAAGGCAGCCAUCUGGCCUAAUACUGACGCUGAGGUACGAAAGCAUGGGGAGCAAACAGGAUUAGAGACCCCUGUAGUCCCUGUCUCUUAUAC